UAUACUAUUUGAUACUAGUAGUUGUUUGUUUAAAAUUUGGACUAUUCAAUUUGAAUCUGCGUGUUUAGGCAAUGUUAUUCAACCUACGCAAAUUGUCGUUUGUAGAAAAGUAAUACCAGAAUAAUCGGAUAUAUUUCUUAAACUUGGUCUCGAAACAUGUAUGGUUUGUUAAUUAAGAGUGACUUUAGUUAAGCGCCUUCGGAGUGAAAUCGGGAGGUCUAUCGGUGAUUAUUUAACAAAAUCAAGAUUGGAUCAUCAACACAGAUUAGUUCCUGUCUAGCCCAAACUUAAAAGAGCAGGAGUAAAGUAAAAUUUAAACUGAAAGAAUAUUGGCUGCUACCUAAAUUAUUUGCGGAACUUGUAGAAGAAUCGAUAAUCCUCGUUAGUAACCUGAAGUUUUCGCAUGCUUAUUUUCGUUUAGCUCAAUAUUAAGUAUUCGGGGUAAAAGUUAGCCUAAGGGUGGAGUUCUAAAGGGACUAGUAAAGCAGAUAAAGAUACGGUGAAUCUUCAGGUCUCUAUGAGUUACAAUGCUUAUUUGUAAACGGAUUAUAAAUUGUAACGAUUUUAUGAAGGUGGAGUAAACAGUAAGGAGAUUUUAAAAAUUUUUCUGAAGAAUAUCUAGGUAGGGUACAAAUCGUCCGUCAAUUGCCUACAGGGCAGUAAGUCGUAGCAAAGUAGGGGUAGGGGAACCUGCCCCUUUAU
rnacentral:ncRNA from 1 species